rnacentral:rRNA from 1 species
ACUCCUACGGGAGGCAGCAGUGGGAAUAUUGCACGAAUGGGGAACCUGAUGCAGCCAUGCCGCGUGUGUGAAGAAGGCCUUCGGGUUGUAAAGCACUUUCAGUAGGGAGGAAGGUAGUGUAGUUAACACCUGCAUUAUUUGACGUUACCUACAGAAGAAGCACCGGCUAACUCCGUGCCAGCAGCCGCGGUAAUACGGAGGGUGCGAGCGUUAAUCGGAAUUACUGGGCGUAAAGCGCAUGCAGGCGGCCUGUUAAGUCAGAUGUGAAAGCCCGGGGCUUAACCUCGGAAUUGCAUUUGAAACUGGCAGGCUAGAGUCUUGUAGAGGGGGGU